rnacentral:lncRNA from 1 species
GGGUAAGUGCUUUUUCUUCUUCCCUCAGCAGCUGAAAGUCAGAGCUGAAAGUCUCUACUCCAAGCGGAGGAGGUCCCUGUGGCUCCUGCUUUGAGCUUCAUGUCCAGGGUUGAGUUGGGUUUUGAGGGGGAGAAGGAGUCCCUCAGGGAAAUAUGGCGUGCUGACUUGGAAGCCUGAUGGCUGAGGGCUGUUCCGUACAGAGGGUGUCAUUUAAUAUUGGACUAGGGAAAUAAAAUAUGUAGAGUGUCUAAUAGGCAGAAAAUGUGGUCAAAACUAUAGUUAAUAAAAAAGCUGGUUUUAUCUGCUAGAUAGCAAGAUUUAAAGCUUUACUGUGGGUUGGCCAGCACGCUUGUAUGGAAAGUGGAUAGGUGACCUGCUGUAUGAUGAGACUUUCUUGAGCUGAUUUCACCUGUAACUCUCCAUGCCAGAGUCAAAGGUUUCUCCACUUCUUUCUGGUUUUUUUUGUGCAUUUAUAUCUGUAUCCCUUUCCUCCUCACCCUUCAACAACUUUCAACAUUUUCAUUGCGUGUCGAACUUAAUGAGAAACUUUGGAUGUGCCUGGAGCUGUAUCCAAAGCUGUGCUCAGAUGUUGAAAUCGCUGCCUGAAAAUUGGCUUCCCAGUUGCAGCGACACGACAAAGAGGAUUCCCCUGACAAGUGGAGGACAGAAGAAGAAAUGGCAGCUGAAGCAGCAAUUCUGAAGAAGUAUUUUCAGGAAAAUUAGAGAUAACAAAGUGUUUGAAAAACAUCCUGUGCCAUAAGAAACUCCCCAGGAAGAAAGGCCUCGUGCUCCAGUUCUCGGUGACCCUGGAGCUGCAGCUGAACAACUUUAUGAUGGUCUACAAAUAUGGGAAUCUUCCACGACCAAUUUUAUUGGACCUUUGGAUAUCACCAAGGUUGAAUUUCAGCUAAAACAUCUAAGAGCACUGAUUCAAAAUAUUGCUCUGAGUAGUAACUCGUAUCUUUCUGAAUUGUGUAUUUGGGAAUGAAUCUUUUUAAAUUGUCCCUUGGCCUACAUUGCAAUAAAGUGCUAGCAAAAUCAGG